rnacentral:rRNA from 1 species
UGGGGAAUAUUGCACAAUGGGGGGAACCCUGAUGCAGCGACGCCGCGUGAGUGAAGAAGUAUUUCGGUAUGUAAAGCUCUAUCAGCAGGAACGAAGAAGACGGUACCUGACUAAGAAGCCCCGGCUAACUACGUGCCAGCAGCCGCGGUAAUACGUAGGGGGCAAGCGUUAUCCGGAAUCACUGGGUGUAAAGGGAGCGUAGACGGCAAGGCAAGCCUGGAGUGAAAGGCGGGGGCCCAACCCCUGGACUGCUCUGGGAACUGUCUGGCUGGAGUGCAGGAGAGGUAAGUGGAAUUCCUAGUGUAGCGGUGAAAUGCGUAGAUAUUAGGAGGAACACCAGUGGCGAAGGCGGCUUACUGGACUGUAACUGACGUUGAGGCUCGAAAGCGUGGGGAGCAAACAGGAUUAGAUACCC